AUUCUGUUCUAUUAUUUGAGGGAAUGUCAGCUGUUGUUCGUGCUGUGCAACAUAUACCCAAAGGAGCUGAGCGAAGUUGGUUUCAUAUUAAAGGAUCAUUACGAGGAUAUCCAAGAAAGUGCAAUUCUGGAAGGUUACGGAUGCAAGGAUUAUAUAAUGACCAACAAAUGCGAUGGUUUUUUGCUUCGCGUCUCUGGUAUGGAAUUACCUGUGGACUAGUCAGUGAGGAGAAAGUACAUUGGUAUAUCCUGGUCUGCAGCAUGCACUCAAUUCCUUUAUUGCUGAUAUGAAGAAAGAGCGAGAUAGAUGCUAUUCGUGCUAAAGACAUCCCUCAAGGUGGAUUGACUCAAUGGCAAGAAACUCAGAUCGCUCGAACUGAACAAAGAACAGAACUGAUCCUGGAAGAGAGCUUGACAUUUUGGAAGUGACCCUGAAUGAGAGAAUUCGAGAAUGUUUAGGUGCACGUGUAGGGAAGCAAUCUCUAGAAGAAAGGAGCAAUUGAAGAAGAAGAACUUUUGAGGUAUUUAAUUAAUGAAAAUUACCCGUGUGAAAGUUUUGCACUUUUGGGUUUGGAAGAGACGCUCAGGUACUCAUUUUUCCAAGGAUUGAACUUUUACCAUAGAUACC